rnacentral:rRNA from 2 species
GCAGUCGACGACUCUGGUAUUGAUUGGUGCUUGCAUCAUGAUUUACAUUUGAGUGAGUGGCGAACUGGUGAGUAACACGUGGGAAACCUGCCCAGAAGCGGGGGAUAACACCUGGAAACAGAUGCUAAUACCGCAUAACAACUUGGACCGCAUGGUCCGAGUUUGAAAGAUGGCUUCGGCUAUCACUUUUGGAUGGUCCCGCGGCGUAUUAGCUAGAUGGUGGGGUAACGGCUCACCAUGGCAAUGAUACGUAGCCGACCUGAGAGGGUAAUCGGCCACAUUGGGACUGAGACACGGCCCAAACUCCUACGGGAGGCAGCAGUAGGGAAUCUUCCACAAUGGACGAAAGUCUGAUGGAGCAACGCCGCGUGAGUGAAGAAGGGUUUCGGCUCGUAAAACUCUGUUGUUAAAGAAGAACAUAUCUGAGAGUAACUGUUCAGGUAUUGACGGUAUUUAACCAGAAAGCCACGGCUAACUACGUGCCAGCAGCCGCGGUAAUACGUAGGUGGCAAGCGUUGUCCGGAUUUAUUGGGCGUAAAGCGAGCGCAGGCGGUUUUUUAAGUCUGAUGUGAAAGCCUUCGGCUCAACCGAAGAAGUGCAUCGGAAACUGGGAAACUUGAGUGCAGAAGAGGACAGUGGAACUCCAUGUGUAGCGGUGAAAUGCGUAGAUAUAUGGAAGAACACCAGUGGNNAAGGCGGCUGUCUGGUCUGUAACUGACGCUGAGGCUCGAAAGUAUGGGUAGCAAAACAGGAUUAGAUACCNUGGUAGUCCAUACCGUAAACGAUGAAUGCUANGUGUUGGANGGUUUNCCGCCCUUCAGUGCUGCANCUAACGCAUUAAGCAUUCCGUCUGG